CAUGUUUAUGUUUAUGGAAUUCUGAUAACUGUAAUGCAAUUUAUACAUAACUGUGGCAAAAUCAUAAUUCUGCAAUCUGACCCAAUCAGAUCAGUAUUCCCUUUAUGAAGAGUACACAAGAGUGGGCAUGCACAAGAAUUCAAGAUCUGUUCCUGCCUCUUGGUCCUGGUUCCCUCUACAAUGAAUGUCCAUCUCAUCAUGAUCGGGAUGACAUUGCAAAGGGCCAACUUUGAAAUAGGCUCCCUGAUUUCAGAGGAAAAGAUGAGAUUCCUGAAUGACAGAAGCCAAACAGCAGUGCUUUACUCUGAGAGAACAAACAUACAUGAGGAUCUGGACCAUACAUAUCAUCUAGGCAGCAAUUUCCUAGACUUUCUCUCAGUGCUUAAUUUAUGCAUUAAUGUGCAAAGUAUCACAGAAGUUCUUCAAAAACCUCGACAAUACGGACCUUCUCUUACCAAAGCUAUUUGACUACCAUCCUUGCACAGGAGUCAACAGCAGAGGUCAACUUUAGACCCUGAUUGGCAUCAUUCCUUGGGGAGUCCAGGAAGCCACCUGGUAUUAGAUUGAUUGCUUUGGACUUUUUCCAGGUUGCAACAGUAAAUGAUUUUGUCUUCACUGGAACUGAAAAUUAUUCUGGAUAUUGAACUUACUUUUCCUACUCCAAUGCUUCUUCUAGCACCAACAUCAGGAGGUUUUGGGGUCCCUUAUUCACCAUCAAGAUAUUGCUUCUGACCAAAGAACUUACUACAAAGCAAAAGAAGGACUGCAAUAGGGCCAUAUAAUUCAUGGAUCUUACUAUAUUCUUCUUGACUCAAAAGUAACUGCUUUGACAGACACAUAGAAUUUCCUCCUGAAGUAUUAGAUGCAUACCAGCUAAGAGACAAUAAUUUAACAUUUUGAGUGUUUUCCUAUACCACGUAGUAUCAGCGUCUACUAGAGACUCUAAGACACUGUUUUACCCUUAAUCUGUAAAUGAAUAAGAGAAAUGAACUACUCACUAAUUUUUUUCCCAUGCAUACAACUUUGUAUUCUCUUGGUUGAGAGUUCUUAUUUCCAUAAUGAAUACUGUUUAAACCUGGAGACAUAGUUCUUUCACUGAAAUGGAUGUUAAGUUUGCCACCUGGUCAUUGUGGGCUCCUUAUUCCAUUGAAACAACAGACAAAUAAUGGGUUACUGUGAUUGGUGGAGUGAUUGAUUCUAAUUACCAAGGGAGACUUGGGUUGCCGCUGUAUAGUGUAGGCAUGCAGAAAUAUGACUGGAACCAAGGAGGUUUCCUUGAAUGCCACUAAGUAUUUUAGCAUUCAACAGAAAAAAAAUUAAUAGACAUUUAGACAAAUCAAAAAGGCAUCUUCACAAAGCACUCAGAACCUCAGGAAUGAAGAUUUUGUUCGUCCUUACCAUGUAAUGGAUCAUAUUCACUGAGAUCCUGGCUGGGGCCAAAAUAAACACGGAAUGAGUAGCA
rnacentral:lncRNA from 1 species